AAACACCUGGUCUCAUUCCGAACCCAGCAGUUAAGCCGGAACACGUAGUAUACUGUACUGAGGUACGCGAGUCCUCGGGAACUAUACCAAGCUGCUAUCA
rnacentral:rRNA from 1 species